rnacentral:lncRNA from 1 species
AGAAAAUGGGCCCUCUUGGCCGUCGGGACUUGUACUGUUGGUGACUCCGUCUCCUUAGACGGUGGAGCCUGCGUGACCCAGAAAGGCCGUGAGUCUUGACACUGUAUUUUUGCAUAUGUGCGCACAUGUGCCGAUUUACAUUCACAUGCCCCAUAAGCCCUGUCCCAUUUGUCCUUCCUCUAAGCCGUCCUCUUACCCAGUUCCCCUCUCACACCUGAGAAGCAUUUCUCCGCAGGAGUCACAUUUAUAGCAUUAUUUUUUUCUUCGAACUAAAAACAUAACUCCUAUUUUCUCGGGUAGUUUUUGUAGGGAGGUCGAAAUAGAAACACUUCAGCCCCUCUUCGGCGAGGGAGGUUAGUUGGUAAGGUGCCCAUUGUUCACCCAUGGAAACAGGCCUGCCAAGGGCCGCCCCGCAGACAGCACUUGCCUCGGUGACCUGGCAGGACGUGCGGUUCUUGAGAUGAGUGGAGAAACGGACUCCCAGGUCCCUCUCGUUCUUCCAACACAGGGACAGCUAGAGCUGCUCCAAAAAUAUACCCUACUUCUUCCACAACCGUGAAUCUGUCAUUUUUACUGCACCAUCACUUACUUCCUGGCCUUCCCGGAGGAAGUGUGCGGGCCUCCCCGAAGUAACCGGUACCGCCCGGGGGGUUUUGAAGUUCUUGGUCAACUGCAAAAUCAAUCAACCUAGUUAACUCCUAGGGCCCUAAGUC